rnacentral:rRNA from 1 species
GCUUAGAAGCAGCCAUUCAUUUAAAGAGUGCGUAACAGCUCACUAGUCAAGAGAUUCUGCGUGGAAGAUAUAACGGGGCUAAGCGUAAUACCGAAGAUAUGGAUUGCAAUUUAUUGCAGUGGUAGCGGAGCGUUCCUAUCGGCAGUGAAGCCGGACUGUUAAGUACCGGUGGAGCGUUAGGAAGUGAGAAUGCUGGAACGAGUAACCAUAAGACAGGUGAGAAUCCUGUCGGCCGAAAGAGCGAGGUUUCCUGGGCUAUGGUAAUCAUCCCAGGGUUAGUCGGGCCUAAGCCGAGGCGUUUAGCGUAGGCGAUGGACAUCAGGUUAAUAUUCCUGAACUAGUCAAACUUUGUAUGCAGUUAGCGAUGAGAUAGGUGGAGCGGAUUCAUGGUUUAUCCGUUCAAGUGAUAGAGGAAUCUUGAUCGAGUAAAAGUGAACCUACGGGUUUACGAUUCCGCUGAAGGCAUUGACCAGAAAAGCUGGCAUACGCAUGGGUUUGGCUACCCGUACCGCAAACCGACACAGGUGCUCGAGUCGAGGAGACUAAGGCUUACGAGAGAAUGAUUGCUAAGGAACUCGGCAAUACAGCGACCGUAACUUCGGAAUAAGGUCUGCCUACAUUUGUAGGCCGCAGCUAAAGAGCCCACGGAACUGUUUACCAAAAACUCAGGUCUCUGCUAACACGAAAGUGGAUGUAUAGGGGCUGAAACCUGCCCGGUGCCGGAAGGUUAAGGGGAUUGCUUCACGGUGAGAACUGAAGCCCCGGUGAACGGCGGCGGUAACUAUAACCGUCCUAAGGUAGCGAAAUUCCUUGUCAGGUAAGUUCUGACCCGCACGAAUGGAGUAAUCAUGUGGGCACUGUCUCAGCGAAGGACUCGGUGAAAGUGCAUUGGCGGUAAAGAUGCCGUCUGUCCAUACCAGGACGAGAAGACCCCAUGGAGCUUUACUACAGCUUUACAUUGAAUACGGUUUCAACAUGUGUAGCAUAGGUGGGAGACGUUGAAGCAGAUACGCUAGUAUUUGUGGAGUCGCAAUGUGAAAUACCACCCUUGUUGUGAUUGUGUUCUCACGCUGACCGUUAUCCGGUUAGCGGACCGUGUAUGGUGGGUAGUUUAACUGGGGCGGUUGCCUCCUAAAGAGUAGCGGAGGCGUUCAAAGGUUGGCUAGCUUCGUAUGGAAACCGAAGUGAUAGUGUAUGCGCAUAAGCCAGCUUGACUGUGAGGAGUACAUUCCAAUCAGAGACGAAAGUCGGAGCAAGUGACCCGCUGUACGAACAUUUGUUCAUUGAAUGUGGGAUCGACAGCGCACACGGAUAAAAGUUACCCUGGGGAUAACAGGCUUAUAGCGCCCAAUAGUUCACAUAGACGGCGCUGUUUGGCACCUCGAUGUCGGCUCAUCACAUCCUGGGGCUGGAGCAGGUCCCAAGGGUCCGGCUGUUCGCCGGUUAAAGUGGUACGCGAGCUGGGUUCAGAACGUCGCGAGACAGUUCGGUUUAUAUCCGGUGUGGACGUCAGGAAACUUGCGAGGAUUUGCCCCUAGUACGAGAGGACCGGGGUGAACGCACCUCUGGUGUAUCGGUUGUGACCACCUGUCGCAUUGCCGAGUAGCUAUGUGCGGAGCAGAUAAGCGCUGAAAGCAUAUUAAGCGCGAAACUGACCUCAAGAUUAGGUUUCCCUAUGAGGACACUAAUAGACGAUUAGUUUGAUAGGCACAAGGUGGAAGCACAGUAAUGUGUGGAGCUGAAGUGUACUAAUAGUCCCACUGCCUUUUUA